UGGGGAAUAUUGGACAAUGGGGGGAACCCUGAUCCAGCCAUGCCGCGUGUGUGAAGAAGGCCUUAUGGUUGUAAAGCACUUUAAGCGAGGAGGAGGGUACUGGUAUUAAUACUACCAGGUACUGGACGUUACUCGCAGAAUAAGCACCGGCUAACUCUGUGCCAGCAGCCGCGGUAAUACAGAGGGUGCGAGCGUUAAUCGGAUUUACUGGGCGUAAAGCGUGCGUAGGCGGCUGAUUAAGUCGGAUGUGAAAUCCCUGAGCUUAACUUAGGAAUUGCAUUCGAUACUGGUCAGCUAGAGUAUGGGAGAGGAUGGUAGAAUUCCAGGUGUAGCGGUGAAAUGCGUAGAGAUCUGGAGGAAUACCGAUGUCGAAGGCAGCCAUCUGGCCUAAUACUGACGCUGAGGUACGAAAGCAUGGGGAGCAAACAGG
rnacentral:rRNA from 1 species